rnacentral:lncRNA from 1 species
CCGAAUGAAUGUAAUCGGCCGAUCCGAUCGACUCAUGUAUUUUGAACCGAUUUAUAUCGGCUGCGUGUGAUUGUGUUACGGUCGAUUUCUUACGUUCCGACCCAUAUACUAGGGUAAUAUCUUUUUAAGUACCUUCCAUUCAGAGCUCUAGUGAAUUCUUCUCCUUCUAUUGUUUCCAAAAUGUAAGCAUUUCCCGGAGCGCACCUGCCGAUUUUAUAUGGCCCUUCCCAGGUAGGGGACCAUUUUCCGAAUUUAGGAUCCUUCGACCCGAUCGGCAGU